rnacentral:rRNA from 1 species
GACGAACGCUGGCGGCGUGCUUAACACAUGCAAGUCGAGCGGAGCGGCGAACGGGGGAGUAAAGCGUGAGUAAAUGCCCCCCUCUCUGGGAUAACAGAUGGAAAAGGCUGCUAAUAUCGGAUAGUGGGGGAUGAAUCGCGUCCUAUCAGCUGGUUGGUGGGGUAGUGGCCUACCAAGGCGACGACGGGUAGCCGGCCUGAGAGGGCGACCGGCCACCUUGGGAUGAGGUACCGGCCCAUCCCCUUCGGGAGGCAGCAGUGGGGAAUAUUGCACCAUGGGGGAAACCCUGAUGCAGCGACGCCGCGUGCGGAAUGACGGCCUUCGGGUUGUAAACCGCUUUCAGCCAUGACGCGGUAGUGGCAGAAGAAGCACCGGCUAACUACGUGCCAGCAGCCGCGGUAAUAC